CGCGCUCGGCGUGGACGAGGCGGGCCGGGGGCCGGUGCUCGGACCGAUGGUUUACGCGAUCUGUUACUGCCCCGUGGAGAAACUGGAGGAACUGGCGGCGCUGGGAGUGGCAGACUCGAAGACGCUGUCGGAGGCCGAGCGGGAGCGGC